CAAACUCAUCAAGGUCAUAAUGAUCGUCAUCAUCAUCAAGUGAACGAAGUGGUGCGUGAUGGUGCGCGGCGGCGUGGCACGCGAGGGGAGCGCGCGCCAGGGUUCGAAUUCGGACGGCACGGCAGUACGAGAACGGGCUUCCAACGACUCGGUCCAGUAUCCAGCGGCGAUCGAGACGGCUGCCGGUCCAGCUUUGCGCCUGCCUGUUGUUAGAAUGCAACUGGGUCAACUCACGAGCGGCAACCGGUCCGCUCGGCAGACGUCCGAGGCUCAUCGGGACUGGCGAGCGACUCCGGCGGCUGACGGUCCGCCCUGUUGGCCGAGCCUGUGGUCCUGCCUAAGGCCCACCGCCGUAACAAGACAACGCUACAGCUCGCGUGGCCGCCAGCCGUGCUGACGACCCUGUACGUGGGCCGGAGCCAGUGGAGGUCGCCGCGAGCCCAGAGCGGCGAGCAUCUUUCCCUUCCCCGGCGCCGCUGCGAGGCAGGUUCGCCUGACGGCACAGCCGGGGUCGUUCGUUCUACCGUGGAACUUCGCCGUGGCACAGCGCGUGGGAUCUGGCAGCGCAUUGGGAGGGCCCUUGUGAGAUUCUGCUGCUGGGGACCUGUUUACCAAGACUUGGCACCUUCGUAGCGCCAUUCUACAGGCGCCUUGUGGGACUUCCGAACAACGCGUCAUGAACUAGGCCGAGAACCUCUAUGACCACAUCGUCGCUCCGCUGCCGUGUACGUCGGGGGAAGUGCCCUGUGUCCACCCGUUGUGGCAGUCAGUCGCGUGCAGCGCAGAUGCGCCGUUAUCUGCUCGUCAGCGAUUGUCGGGACCAUCGCUGCAUCCCUGGUGACACUGAU